rnacentral:lncRNA from 1 species
AGACAUCUCUCGUAGAAGACAUACUAACCGGUUUGCCUGAGAAAUAUAAAACUAAAGGUUUAAAGUACAUGCUUCUUAUCAAAUCAAUCUACAACUAUUCAAUAAAACUUAAUUUGCUUUUAUGUAACCCAUUAAAAUCAUUUACACACUUAAUCACAUAUCUAUACUUAAAUGCCACGACUUUCUCUUGUUCUGAAUAACUAUACGUAUUUACAUGUGUCUCAUUUGUAGACUCUCGUUACUACAUGCAACAUUUUUUCCAUGACUUUCAUGAAGCUUUUUAAGUUCGUGAAACUAGUUUUCAAUAUAACAGUCCAUCAACCUAUCA